UACAGAGGGUGCGAGCGUUAAUCGGAAUUACUGGGCGUAAAGCGUGCGUAGACGGUUACGUAAGUCAGAUGUGAAAGCCCCCGGGCUCAACCUGGGAAUUGCAUUUGAGACUGCGUAGCUAGGGUGCGGAAGAGGGAAGCGGAAUUUCCGGUGUAGCGGUGAAAUGCGUAGAUAUCGGAAGGAACACCAGUGGCGAAAGCGGCUUCCUGGUCCAGCACCGACGUCAGGCACGAAAGCGUGGGGAGCAAACAGGG
rnacentral:rRNA from 1 species